GGGGUGUGCUCAGAGCAGGGGGCCUGAAGAAUGGCUUCUCUGUUUAUACCACACCCAAAAGGAAGCUGGUCAUGUGUGAGGAGGCUUACAGAACGUUUCGCCUUCCUCUGAGCAAAUGGCCUACACAU
ensembl:snoRNA Gm22676 predicted gene, 22676